rnacentral:rRNA from 1 species
ACCCGCACAAGCGGUGGAUGAUGUGGAUUAAUUCGAUGCAACGACGAAAAACCUUACCUACCCUUGACAUGUACGGAACCCUGCUGAGAGGUGGGGGUGCUCGAAAGAGAGCCGUAACACAGGUGCUGCAUGGCUGUCGUCAGCUCGUGUCGUGAGAUGUUGGGUUAAGUCCCGCAACGAGCGCAACCCUUGUCAUUAGUUGCUACGCAAGAGCACUCUAAUGAGACUGCCGGUGACAAACCGGAGGAAGGUGGGGAUGACGUCAAGUCCUCAUGGCCCUUAUGGGUAGGGCUUCACACGUCAUACAAUGGUCGGUACAGAGGGUUGCCAAGCCGCGAGGUGGAGCCAAUCCCAGAAAGCCGAUCGUAGUCCGGAUCGCAGUCUGCAACUCGACUGCGUGAAGUCGGAAUCGCUAGUAAUCGCGGAUCAGCCAUGGCGCGGUGAAUACGUUCCCGGACCUU